rnacentral:rRNA from 1 species
UACGUAGGGGGGCAAGCGUUGUCCGGAAUCAUUGGGCGUAAAGCGCGUGUAGGCGGCUCGAUAAGUCUGCUGUGAAAGUCCAGGGCUCAACCCUGGGAUGCCGGUGGAUACUGUCGAGCUCGAGUCCGGAAGAGGCGAGUGGAAUUCCUGGUGUAGCGGUGAAAAUGCGCAGAUAUCAGGAGGAACACCAAUGGCGAAGGCAGCUCGCUGGGACGGUACUGACGCUGAGACGCGAAAAGCUGGGGAGCGAACAGG